CACUCUCUCACACGGCACUCUCACACCCAGCACUCUCUCACACAGCACUCUCACACCAUCACACUCACAGCACUCUCACAGAGCACUCUCACACACACACAGCACUCUCUCACAGCACUCUCACACCCAUCACACUCACAGCACUCUCACAGAGCACUCUCUCACACCCAUCUCACACAGCACUCUCACACACCCAUCUCACACAGCACUCUCACACACGGCACUCUCACACCCAUCACUCACACACGGCACUCUCACACGGCACUCACACACACCGCACCCCUCACA